ensembl:lncRNA
GGAAAUUUUAUGUAGUUCUAUAGUUUCUUUUUUAUAAUAUACUUUUGAGUUAUUUGCAGCAUCUUUCUUUUAACCUUAGAUUGCACAGAGCAGUAUAUUCAUGGAUUCUUCACUAUUCUCAUAGUGAGUCCUUGAGAAAUGUAUGUUAUAGUUUAGCUCAGUGAGCAGGUAAGUAAGUGCUUUCUGUCUUGGGUGGGCAACAAAUCUUUAUGGCAACAGAGUAGGAAUAAAGGAUCAUUCAGAUUCCAAUAGAGAAAGUAGGUGUCCUGAGUUAGUUAAUGGUUAUUGUUGGAAAUCUCAAAUUUUUCUUUGGUAGCACACAGUUCAUUAUCCUAGAUUAAAGUUAGUCUUUUAGGGCCAGCUGUGCAGUGCUGUGCUAAGUCACUUCAGUUGUGUCCACGUCUUUGCGACCCUGUGGACCGUAGCUGGCCAGGCUCCUCUGUCCGUGGGGUUUUUGAGGCAAGAGUACUGGAGUGGGUUGCACAUUUCCUUCUCCAGGGGAUCUUGCUGAGUCAGGGAUUGAAGCCGGCUCUCCUGUGCUGCAGAUAGUCUUCUGUGUUGCAGGCAGAUUCUUUACCGACCGCGCCCCCCAGGGAAGCCCUAUCCUAAAUUAAAGGUUGGUAAAUGUUUUUGUGUGAAGGGCCACACAAUAAAUGUUUUGGGGUUUUCAGGCCAUAUAGUUUUUCCCAGCUGUUCACUUUUGCCAAUGUAACACAAACACAGCCAUAGACAACAUGGAAAUAAUUGGCUGUGUCUGUGCCUCGCUGACACAUUAUUUUCACAGAAAAGAUAGCUGAAUUUGGUCCACUGGUCACAGUUUGCUGUCCUAGAUGGUUUUAGUAAUUUUAAACUGUAACAGGUGGUUGUGAGUUUCUGUCAUCCCAACCCUCUCAAUUUUCUAUAUAUGGCCUGGUUGCUGAGUUUGAGUGUUGUUUAGGACUCACAUAAGUGAGAAGUAGGUAAGGGAAACAGAAACUCUUAAGAACUAGUGUUAAAGCAUUUUGAAGUCCUUUUAUUUGCUAGAGCUGAUUAGGAACUUUGCUUUGCUGCCAUAAUUAACCAAAAGAUUGAAGAAUAGAGAUUGUAAUUGGUUGUUGAAAAUUAUAUAAAUUAUUCUAAGCACUUGGCUACCUAGGUGGUAGUUUUUUACCAAAUAAGAUAAGCCUUUUACAGAUAAACCUUUUUACCUUCAUAUUCUAGGACACUUGGAGACCAGAUUUAAGAGAAAUUAUGAAAUGUGAGACUUUAUUUUGCCAUGUAAGGAAAGGGUUUUGGAAAAAUAACUACCAUCUUCCAUCACUAUCACUUUAGGACCCCCUCCUCCCUCCAUAUUUAGGAAAAACAUAAACUUAGAAUAAGAGAGAGUUCAACUUAAGUUGAAUGACUUUAAAUUGAUGGAAAAAUUACUCCACUAUUCUUUUCUCAUUUACUCUGGAUCACUGAAAACUUCAUCAAGGGGAAGUAUCAGUCUAGAGACUUAUCAGUUGAAAAGUGUUGUGAUACAGUUGCUGAAAGGUCUAAUGUAAUUAUAAAAUUAUUAUUGACUAGAGGGUGUAAUAAACCACAUGCACUCUGAUACUAAGACUAAAACUUUUAUAUUACUGUGUUAAAUUGUAAGUGCCACAUAUCAAGAGGGACAUGAACUGUAGUGUUCAUAGGAAGGCACACAGCAUGUAGAAAGGCUUGAGUGGAAUGCAGAGGUAUUGGUGAUAUUUAUUUUGGAGUAAAUAAAGAGAGGUGGUUUUCUUCAGACAUUUGAGUGACUGCCAUAUAUAAGAAGGAAUAGAAUUGUUCUGUCUUAUUCUAGGUGGACAAAUGAAUUAUAAGAAAUGAAAGUUCUGGUUCCACAUUUAAGGUUCCGUAUGAGAAUUUCUAAAUGAAAAUCGGCCCUUUCCUCAUAAAAUCAUUUGAAGUAUUCAAACAAAAGCCAAAUCAGUGGUUUUCAAAGUAGAAUCCCUAUACUAUCAGCAUCACUGGGGCAUAUUACCUGUAUAGACCUGAAAUUAUGGAUCACCGAGCUGAAAAACAGGUCAAUGAGAUCAAUGAAGAACAUCCUUUUCCUGAUGUCUUCUUCUCAUGUCUGGUUGACUGGAAAAGUAUGGGCUGAGAAGAUAAAUGGGACCAUCCUGCUUGGCUUAAACCAACUAAUGAAUCACACCUCUGGGACUGGAAGAAAAGGUCCCAUUUGCAGUAG